rnacentral:rRNA from 1 species
GCUCAGUAACACGUGGACAACCUGCCCUUAGGACGGGGAUAAACCCGGGAAACUGGGUAUAAUACCCGAUAGGUCUCGAUUGCUGGAAUGCAUCGAGAUUUAAAGCUCCGGCGCCUAAGGAUGGGUCUGCGGCCUAUCAGGUAGUAGUGGGUGUAGCGUACCUACUAGCCUACGACGGGUACGGGUUGUGAGAGCAAGAGCCCGGAGAUGGAUUCUGAGACACGAAUCCAGGCCCUACGGGGUGCAGCAGGCGCGAAAACUUUACAAUGCUGGCAACAGCGAUAAGGGAACCUCGAGUGCCAGGGUACAAAUCUGGCUGUCGAGAUGCCUAAAAAGCAUUUCAUAGCAAGGGCCGGGCAAGACCGGUGCCAGCCGCCCCGGUACACCGGCGGCUCCAGUGGUAACCGUUUAUAUUUGGGUCUAAGGGG